UACAGAGGGUGCAAGCGUUAUCCGGAUUCACUGGGUUUAAAGGGAGCGCAGGCGGGCUGGUAAGUCAGUGGUGAAAGCCUUGAGCUUAACUCGAGAACUGCCAUUGAUACUAUCAGUCUUGAAUAUUGUUGAGGUUUGCGGAAUGGGUCAUGUAGCGGUGAAAUGCAUAGAUAUGACCCGGAACACCUAUUGCGAAGGCAGCAGGCUAAACAAAGAUUGACGCUGAGGCUCGAAAGCGUGGGGAUCAAACAGG
rnacentral:rRNA from 1 species